rnacentral:rRNA from 1 species
GAUAGGAAACAAAAAGGCAUCUUUUUGUUUUUAAAAGACCUUCUUAUGAAGGUAUGCUUAAAGAGGGGCUUGCGCCACAUUAGUUAGUUGGUAGGGUAAAAGCCUACCAAGACGAUGAUGUGUAGCUGGACUGAGAGGUUGAACAGCCACAUUGGGACUGAGACACGGCCCAAACUCCUACGGGAGGCAGCAGUAGGGAAUUUUCGGCAAUGGAGGAAACUCUGACCGAGCAACGCCGCGUGAACGAUGAAGUAUUUCGGUAUGUAAAGUUCUUUUAUUGAAGAAGAAAAAGUAGUGGAAAAACUAUAUUGACGUUAUUCAAUGAAUAAGCCCCGGCUAACUAUGUGCCAGCAGCCGCGGUAAGACAUAGGGGGCGAGCGUUAUCCGGAAUUAUUGGGCGUAAAGGGUGCGUAGGCUGUUAGAUAAGUCUAUAAUUUAAUUUCAGUGCUUAACGCUGUCUUGUUAUAGAAACUGUCUUGACUAGAGUGAGAUAGAGGCAAGCGGAAUUCCAUGUGUAGCGGUAAAAUGUGUAAAUAUAUGGAGGAACACCAGAAGCGUAGGCGGCUUGCUGGGUCUUUACUGACGCUGAGGCACGAAAGCGUGGGUAGCAAACAGGAUUAGAUACCCUGGUAGUCCACGCCGUAAACGAUGAGUACUAAGUGUCGGGGUAAAACUCGGUACUGAAGUUAACACAUUAAGUACUCCGCCUGAGUAGUACGUACGCAAGUAUGAAACUUAAAGGAAUUGACGGGACUCCGCACAAGCGGUGGAUCAUGUUGUUUAAUUCGAAGAUACACGAAAAAUCUUACCAGGUCUUGACAUACUCUGCAAAGCUAUAGAAAUAUAGUGGAGGUUAUCAGGGAUACAGGUGGUGCAUGGUUGUCGUCAGUUCGUGUCGUGAGAUGUUAGGUUAAGUCCUAAAACGAGCGCAACCCUUGUCGUUAAUUGCCAGCACGUAAUGGUGGGGACUUUAGCGAGACUGCCAAUUAAACAUUGGAGGAAGGUGAGGAUUACGUCAAAUCAUCAUGCCCCUUAUGAUCUGGGCUACAAACGUGAUACAAUGGCUGUGACAAAGAGUAGCUGAAACGCGAGUUUUUAGCCAAUCUCAAAAAAGCAGUCUCAGUUCGGAUUGAAGUCUGUAACUCGACUUCAUGAAGUUGGAAUCGCUAGUAAUCGCGAAUCAGCAUGUCGCGGUGAAUACGUUCUCGGGGUUUGUACACACC